rnacentral:rRNA from 1 species
UACGGGGGGGCAAGCGUUGUUCGGAAUUACUGGGCGUAAAGGGUUCGUAGGUGGCUUGCUUAGUCAGACGUGAAAUCCCUCGGCUUAACCGGGGAACUGCGUCUGAUACUGGAUGGCUUGAGUUUGGGAGAGGGAUGCGGAAUUCCAGGUGUAGCGGUGAAAUGCGUAGAUAUCUGGAGGAACACCGGUGGCGAAGGCGGCAUCCUGGACCAACACUGACGCUG